rnacentral:sRNA from 1 species
UACAAAAACACAAAAAAAA